rnacentral:rRNA from 1 species
UGGGGAAUUUUCCGCAAUGGGCGAAAGCCUGACGGAGCAACGCCGCGUGAGGGAUGAAGGCCUCUGGGCUGUAAACCUCUUUUAUCAAGGAAGAAGAUCUGACGGUACUUGAUGAAUAAGCCACGGCUAAUUCCGUGCCAGCAGCCGCGGUAAUACGGGAGUGGCAAGCGUUAUCCGGAAUUAUUGGGCGUAAAGCGUCCGCAGGCGGCCUCGUAAGUCUGUCGUUAAAGCGUGGAGCUUAACUCCAUUUCGGCGAUGGAAACUGUGAGGCUUGAGUGUGGUAGGGGCAGAGGGAAUUCCCGGUGUAGCGGUGAAAUGCGUAGAUAUCGGGGAGAACACCAGUGGCGAAGGCGCUCUGCUGGGCCAUAACUGACGCUCAUGGACGAAAGCCAGGGGAGCGAAAGGGAUUAGAUACCCCUGUAGUC